AGAAUUUUAAUAUUUAUUUUUUAGUUUUCAGCGGACUUUGUUUGUAUGUGGUGCUGAGGAUCGAACCCGGACUGCACGCAUGCCAGGCGAGUGCGCUACUGCUUGAGCCACAUCCCCAGCCCCAGGGUCCGUCCUAUUACCAGGCAAUUUCCUUUCUCAUUUCUGGUCAUAGGUAAGGACAGAAACACAACCAACAGAUCACAUUUAGUAUCAACUCUGUUUCUGCCACCUCUCUGAAUCUGAAAAUCUAUCAGUUCCGAGUCAGUAAACUCAGAACUGAUAGAUUACCCUCCACACCAAAGGGGACUAACAGUUGUAGCUCUCCAAACUAGAAGCAAAGUAUACCUUUUAAACAUAUGUAGGAGUCUCUAGGGGAUGAUACAGACAGAGGAUGUCUUUAAGUAAUCAAUGUUUAAAGAAAGAGUACUCUUGAAUCAACUUGUCUACCUUUCAAGGGGGCUAAGAAAGUUGGUGUUGGCAGGGGGGAGGUAGAGAGAAAAGUUGGGGCUUUUAAAUUCUAAUCAACCAUUCCAAUUCAUCAUAGGGGGCUGGGGCUCUAGCUCAGUGGCAGAGCGCUUGCCUUGCAUUUGAGAGGUGCUGAGAAUCAAACCCAGCCGGAUUCCACCCUCAGCACCACAUAAAAAUAAACAAAAUAAAGGCAUGCUGUCCAUCUACAUCUACAAAAAACAAACAAACAAACAAAAAAACUCAUCAUACUGACUCUGAGGGGAAUGUAAGGGAGCUAUGAAAUUCAAAGAGGAGUUAGCAUGGGCAGAACACACAAAAACCUCUUUCCAAAACACAAGUAUUACCUGAGUUAUACUUUGCUUGUUCAAAUUAAUCUUUCUCUUUUCCAAGUUUGAUCCUAGUGACUUCAUAGACAUCAUACUCUUAUGUGUGGGAAAACACUACAGUGAGCAGCUUUCGUGUCAAAUUAGUGUUAAAAAAUCUCAGCAAUUCUAUUUAUUAAAGACACCAAGAUAGAAAAUCAUACAGGAGACAACGCAGAGGAAUAAAAGCUCUUAAGUCCAGUUUUCUGGGUUUGUUUUCCGAUUCUACUUAAUGGCUAUGAAACUUUGAGCAAAUUGCUAAAUAUAUGUGUACAUUUGUUUCCUCAUCUGUAUAAUGGGAUAACAGCUUUAUAAGCAACUACUGCAUAAGGUUGUAAAGAUUAAAUGAGAUAAUAUUUGUAUCAUUAUUAAAUUUCUUUGGAACUCAUUUAAAUAAGUAUUUGAUAUAGACUACAUGCUCAAUAAAUAUUGAGCUACUAAUCAGUAUCAAUAAGACAUGAAGAAUUUCUUUACAUCUCUGAGCCUUACUUUCCUCCACUAGAAAAAUGAAAGAAAAAAAUACUAUCCUCAUAGAAUAGGCUAUGGGGAUUAAAUGAAAGAUGUAUUUAGCAUAAAGAUGUAGUAGCUAGUUGUUAUUAAAUAAUGGCCCUGCUUUUUUUGCGUCCAGAAAAGAUUUAAGUUAAUAUAUUAAAGAAUAGCUCAAUGUUAGUUAUCAAUAAUAUUCUACACACAACACACACAAAUUUUUUUAAAAAAAAUUUUGUACUAGGGAUUGAACCCAGUACAAAAUUAACCACUUAACCACUGAGUCAUACCCCUAGCCCUUUUUUAUGUUUUAUUUAGAGAUAGGGUCUUGCUGAAUUGCUUAGGGCCUCGCUAAAUAGCUGAGGUUGGCUCUGAAAAAGGUAUAAAGAAAAAGAAAAAAACAAAAAGGUUAAAGAAGAUUAUGACAGAGGUAAGAAUUCAAAGUCCCAAAGUAGACUAAUUUAGAGGAAUAUCAGAAAUUACUAUGAUCCUAUUGAAUAUUCUGUAGUGUCCUAGGUCAAGGAGUUCUGAGAAUCCAGAUAUACAUGUACAUUUUGUCAUUAAGUUUUCAUUGGUUUAUGAUGAAAUGAUCAAAAUAAAGAGGAUACAGCAAAAUUUUCAUUAAGCUAAAUUUAUUAAGUUUGUAUAUUCUUAUGAGAAACCAAGAAUCUCAUAACAGUUUUCUCUGGAAAAAAUAAAACAAAACACAGAUUAGAUCCUAUUUCUGUGUAAAAAAAGGUAUAGAAGGGGCUGGGGUAGAGUGCUUGCCUAGCAUGCAUGAGGCAUUGGGUUCGAUCCCCCAGCACCACAUAAAAAUAAAUAAAUAAAUUAAUUAAUUAAAGGUAUUUUGUCCAUCUACAACUAAAAAAAUUUAAAAAGAAAAAGGUAUGGAAGGACACACACUUGCCUAUUAACAGUAGUUACUUCUGAAAAGAGUAGGAUUAAGCAAGGCAUGAUGGCACACACCUGUAAUCCCAGUAGUUUGGGAGGCCUGAAACAGGAGGAUUACAAAUUCAAGGCCAGCCUCAGCAAUUUAGUGAGAUCCUGUCUCAAAAUGAAAAAUUGAAAAAAAAAAAAAGAGCUGGGGAUGUAGUUUAAUGGUAAAUUGCCCUUCGUUAACUCCCCAGUCUCCCACCCCACCCCCAGCAAAAUAGUUAAGUUUAAGGUGAGAAAUAUAUUAUGGAUUCUAAAUUUUUUUCCACUCUAAACAAUCCCUUUUUAAAAAAAUAGGGACACACAACACACACACACACAUAAUUAAAAAAAAAUUUUUUGUACUAGGGAUUGAACCCAGGAGCACUUAACCACUGAGUCACACCCCUAGCCUUUUUUUAUGUUUUAUUUAGAAACAGGGUUCUUGCUGAGUUGCUUGGGGCCUCGCUAAAUAGCUGAGGUUGGCUCUGAACUCCUGAUCUCCCUUUCUCAGUCUCCUGAGCUGCUGGAAUAACAAGAGUGCACCAUAGUGCCCAACUAGGGAACAUAUUUUUAAAAAUAGUUGUCUAAAGAAAAAAAUUUUUUUGGUACCAGGGAUUGAACCCAAAGAUUCUUUACUAGUGAGCUAUGUCCCCAGUCCUUUUUCUUUUAGAAAAAAAAAAAAUGUGUCUCUGUUUGUGUGUGUAUACACACACACACACACACACACACACAUAUAUAUAUAUAUAUAUAAUGGACACUUUUUUAUUUUUAGGUGGUGCUGAGGAUUGAAUUCAGUGCCUCACACAUGCCAGGCAAGAGCUCUCUACCACUGAGCCACAACUCUAUCCCCUUUCUUUUUUUGAGACAGGUUUCACUGAGUUGCUAAAUUUGUUAAAUUGCUAAGGCUAACCUUGAAUUUUCGAUCCUCCUGCCUCAGUCUCUAGAGCUGCUGAGAUUACAGACAUACACCACUGUACUGAACUACCAUGUUAUUAUGUUAUUAAAAACAAAACAAAAAUACAGGUCAAGAAAUAUCAAGCCCAGCAUGGUGGUGAACACCUAUAAUCCCACUAAACACAGUUCUUUAGCUGUUCUUCAUCUUCAAACCUUUAGGGCAGUGUUUCUCAAACUGUGGGCUGUAAGACAAAAGUGACCUUGACAUCAGUUGAUGGGUUACCAUCAGUUUUUUUUUUUUUUUUUUUAAUUUUUGCAGUACUGGGGACUGAACCCAGAGCAUUCUAUCUCUAGCUCUUUUUCUAAGACUGGUUUUCACUAAAUUGCCAGGCUUUCACUAAAUUGCCAGGCUGGCCUCAAAAUUGUGAUCCUCCUGCCUCAGCCUCCCAUGUAGUUGGGAUUACAGGCAUACACCACUGUACCAUGUUAUUUAAAAUAAGAAUAAAAAUAAAAAAGGACAUAGGUCAAGAAAUAUCAAGGUCAGCAUAGUGGCACACAUCUGUAAUUCCAGCAACAUGGGGAGGCUAAAGCAGGAGGAUCUCAAGUUCAAGGUUAGCCUCAGCAAUUUAGCAAGGCCCUACACAACUCAGUGAGACCCUGUCUCUAAAUAAAAUACAAAAAAGGGCUGGGAAUGUGGCUUAGUGGUUAAGUGCCCCUGGGUUCAAUCCCCAGUGGGGGGUGGGGAUGCUAACAAUAAGCAUAAGAAUCAUUUUGUGAAAAUGUUUCACUUAUAUGUAUGUGUAGUUUACACAGAGUCAGGAUGUAAACUCCUUUUUUCACUUUUAAUACCAAGGAUUGAAUCCAGAGGUGCUUAACCACUGAGAUAUAUCCUCAUCCCUUUUUAUUUUUUAUUUUGAGACAGGGUCUCACUAGGUUACUUACAGCCUGGCUAAAUUACUGAGGCUAGCUUUUAACCUGCAAUCCUCCUGUCUCAGCCUUCCAAGCCACUGGGAUUACAGGCAAGCAACAUAAUGAUGACAAGUUUUGUGUUUUUAACUGUGAAUCAUGAUCAACAAGUUUUAAAAACUUUGGGAAGGACUGACAAUGAAAGAUGGGUUAAUAGGAAUGGAAAGAAGUCGACUCUGAACGGCUUAUGGUUAUGGUUACUAUAAAGCACUUCUAGAUAACAUUUGGAUAAAGGUUGAAUAUAUAGCUCUCCAGGGAUCAGAAGAUUCCCGAACCCUGCUACUUAAGUUAUAGAGCAAUCACGAAAAUGAGAAGAGCCAACCUAGACAGAAGCAAACCCAUGUAUUGGUAAGGGCUUUGGAAUCAGGCAAACUUGAGUUCUUCUCUCUGCUUUGCCACUUAACUUACUGUGAGUUUAGGCUACUCCCUUUGCCUUUUGGAAUCUCAGCUUCCUUAUUUAUAUAAGGAUAUUUGGGAAAGAAGGGGAUUUGUGAAAAUAUGAAAUAGCAGAAUUUGAAUUCCCUUCCAAAGUUCUGGGUACAUUUAAGAAAUUCACUUUUCUUCUUCCUGUACUGGGGAUUGAACCCAGGGGCAUUUUGCCACUGAGUUAUAUUCUUGGUCCUUUUUAUUUUUUGAGACAAGUUCUUGCAAAGUUGCUGAGGCUGGCCUCAAACUUAUGAUCUUCCUGCCUCAGCCUCCUUAGUUGCUGCAAUUAUGGGUAAGCAAGCAGAAACUUGCUUUCCUUUUUUUUUUUUUGCUUUUUUUUUUUUGUGUGUGUGUGUGUGUGUGGUGCUGGGGAUUAAACUUGGUUUCUUUAAAGCAUCUAUGUAGAUGAAUUAUAUCUAAAAAAACAAAACAAAAAACAUACAUUUAUGUGAUACUUCAUAUACACUGUCUCAGAAAAGAAGAUGGGCCCUCGUAAGUUGAAACUUUAAAAACAGAAAACAACUGACACAAUAGAAAAAAAAAGAUAAAGAUGAUAAGUUAACAAGUUUUUUUUUUUUUUUUCAGGUUGACAUACUCUCAAGAAACAUAGGAAAAGUUACUAGUUUUUCAGCUUAUUCCCUCACAUUUUUAUCUAUUUCAAAGCAUGUUAUCUAAGGGGCAAAACAUUAAGCCUCAAUGUUACUAUUCUACAAUAAUAACAUGGAAGUUAAAACGGAUUAAAUUCUCAUGGCCAGACCCAUUACUCUAAGCCUGGGAAAACAGUAGGGGGUUGGAGCAGUGUGAAGAUAGGAAAGUUACAGGUACACUUGGGUUGCAAAGUCUUUGUCACCAACCCCCAAACACUCAGAAGUCAAGCCAGAGCCCAGAAUCAGUCAGCAAAUUUUCUUGCUACUAAACAACCUUGGAUCAUCAGAGGUUAGUAAUAACUGGGUUAGAAAAGACUACCUCCCACCCCAAUAUGUAACCUCAAAAAUCUGUCCUGCCUUACUUGUUCAUACUAAUUGAUGGGAUACCCAUCUGUAAACCUUGAGCUUGAAUCUCAUCAUGUUUAUAAGGAUAUCAUUUUUUAAUGUAAAUAGCUAGACUCUUGAAACAUCAGGAAUAUAGAAAUGAAAUAAUACAUAAAAGAUUCAAUUGA
rnacentral:lncRNA from 1 species